GGGGAAUGAACAGCAAUGCCCUGAAUUCCAACUGCCCUUCUACAGAGAAGUGCUGAAAUUCAAGAUAAGCCAACAACACAUUUCAAGGUUUCCCCAGAAUUCAAACUGACACCUUUACAGGAAAGCCAGCCUACCAUGGUCAGCUCGCACUGUGAAGGAACCUCCAGCAGAAGACUCCCAGGCAUACUGCUCAUCAUCAUUGUGCUUUGUGAUCACUACUACUUUCUCUGCCACCAAGUACGCAGAAUAAAAGCCAACACCAAAUUGUCCAAUCAUGGAGAUGUCUGCACCAGCCUGCCACACACACACACACA